GGCUUGAUGGUCUAGAGGUAUGAUUCCUGCUUUGGGUCACUAUAUGCAGGAGGUCCCGGGUUCAAUCCCCGGUCAAGCCC